rnacentral:rRNA from 1 species
AUUGAACGCUGGCGGCAGGCCUAACACAUGCAAGUCGAGCGGAUGAAGGGAGCUUGCUCCUGGAUUCAGCGGCGGACGGGUGAGUAAUGCCUAGGAAACUGCCUGGUAGUGGGGGAUAACGUCCGGAAACGGGCGCUAAUACCGCAUACGUCCUGAGGGAGAAAGGGGGGGAUCUUCGGACCUCACGCUAUCAGAUGAGCCUAGGUCGGAUUAGCUAGUUGGUGGGGUAAAGGCCUACCAAGGCGACGAUCCGUAACUGGUCUGAGAGGAUGAUCAGUCACACUGGAACUGAGACACGGUCCAGACUCCUACGGGAGGCAGCAGUGGGGAAUAUUGGACAAUGGGCGAAAGCCUGAUCCAGCCAUGCCGCGUGUGUGAAGAAGGUCUUCGGAUUGUAAAGCACUUUAAGUUGGGAGGAAGGGCAGUAAGUUAAUACCUUGCUGUUUUGACGUUACCAACAGAAUAAGCACCGGCUAACUUCGUG